GACGAACGCUGGCGGCGUGCUUAACACAUGCAAGUCGAACGGAAAGGCCCUGCUUUUGUGGGGUGCUCGAGUGGCGAACGCGUGAGUAACACGUGAGUAACCUGCCCUUGACUUUGGGAGAAAUUCAGGAAACUGGGGCGAAUACCGGAGAGGAGCUCCUGCUGCAUGGGGGGGGUUGGAAAGUUUCGGCGGUUGGGGAUGGACUCGCGGCUUAUCAGCUUGUUGGUGGGGUAGUGGCUUACCAAGGCUUUGACGGGUAGCCGGCCUGAGAGGGUGACCGGCCACAUUGGGACUGAGAUACGGCCCAGACUCCUACGGGAGGCAGCAGUGGGGAAUAUUGCACAAUGGGCGGAAGCCUGAUGCAGCAACGCCGCGUGCGGGAUGCCGGCCUUCGGGUUGUAAACCGCUUUCGCCUGUGACGAAGCGUGAGUGACGGUAAUGGGUAAAGAAGCACCGGCUAACUACGUG
rnacentral:rRNA from 1 species